rnacentral:lncRNA from 1 species
CGUCCAUUCCAUCGGUAGCGAUGGUCCACCCAAACUGGGAAGUUAGCGCACGUGGAAAUACUUUUCUUAUAAACCUGUUAUUAUUUUAAAUUAUUGCAAUCUAGUGGAUGAACAAGUCCUUUGAUUUAGACACAUUUAAGAAAUACUAAAAAGAAGUUGAUUUAUUUAAAGUAAAUAACCUUUUUUUAGAGUUGUAUACAACAUUUAAAAUGAAAGACGAAGAAGAAAUAAAUUUAGAAGAUAUAGUUUUUGGAACUAGAAAUGAUUUAGUUGAAAAUAAUGAUGAAAUUGCAUUGAAAAAACCUAAGAAUAAAUUUCAUAAAGUAAAAAAAAGAAAGCCUGCAUGGAUUGAUAUUGAUAGCAAUGAUAAAGUAUUAGUUAAAACUGGAAUAACAAAUCCAAAAUGGGCAAAGUUGAAAAACCAAGAUUUAAUUGAAAAUAAUGAUGAAAUUGCAUUGAAAAAACCUAAGAA